rnacentral:lncRNA from 1 species
GGAUUGUCCUGAUGCACAACAUGAAACACUUCCAAAAUCCUACAGCUCUUCAGGGAACAGGAAAAAUCUUCCCACUCAGUUCUUGUGGCGACGGAGGGACUCAGGCCAGCCCAGCGUGCAGCGCUGCCUUUGAUCUGUGCACCAGAAAAUCUGUAUCAAGUCAGCUGCACAUUUCUAAGCAGAUUAAAUUUGCCCUUGUGGUUCAUCUGAAGCCUGACAGAUCUCCUUUGUGUGCUUUGUGGUCCAAGAUCCCAAACCAGCAAAACCCUACAGCCCAUCUGGAAGUUUAAAAAUAUGAGGCCUACUUCAAUGGGACUUAUUUAAAGUGCUUAAGGCCUCGUGAAGCCAAAAUCCUCAGCUUUUAUACCCUUACCUGUGACCUUCACCUGAAGAUUACUGAAGUGUUAUGGGCUUUGUAAUUCGGGGUUUUUUGGAAGAUGGCUUUGGAAAAGUGAAAAAAACCUACAGUCUUCAGGUGGAGAGGUGGAGGCCUCUUUGUUUGGAUGUGAUGGAGAUGUAAGAGCCCAAGGCAGGAUAUUAGUUUGAAAGAUAAGCCAAUAGUUUUUGAGGAAAUUGUAAGAAAUGAUGUGGCUGAGGUUCUCCUCUUUGGCUCAUUUGCUCUUUCUCAGCCCACCUUCAAAGGAAGAUGUGCUCCCAAGAGCUUGAGGUGGGGCCAAGUGCAAGGACCUGAGGGAAGAGGUUACCAAGGGCUGAAAUGAUGUGGGACCUGCAAAGAAAACAGCCUGCUUUUCCCCACAGUAACUGGAGUAGGUCCAUUUCGGGGAUCUGACAUCUACCCCAGGUUCCAGGAAGAAGUUUUACCACAAAGACAGCUUUGAGAGAGGUAAAAACUCUAAACCAACUCCAGGCUCGGCUCUCUUCUCUAAGUAAAAUAGAAAUUCAGUGUUCUCACUUCUUCUCAACUGCCAAACAAAGCUGAAAGGUUGUCAUGCCUGGUGAAAUUGAUAUAUUGGUACUUUUUCAUACAAAUACCUUUUUUGGGUGGCUAUAUUUAGCCCAAUAUAUCCUGGGAGCUAUAUUUGAGUGCCAUGCACAGUGGAAAAUAGCCCUCUGAGCUCAGGAGCCAAACACAGAAGGAACAAGCCUCCCAAGUACUCUUCUGGAUGGUUCACAUCCUUCCUCAUCAAUGGAAAUAUUCCCAUUUUGGUGCAAAUCAUUUAUCUGGUAAAUUACAAAUGUCAAGGGAAAAUGUAAUGAAAGGAGUGGGAACAAGAGGAAACUGCCCAGUUUCCCUCUCCUUUUGCACCAUCCUGUAGCCUUUUCGAAAGGCAAAAGUAUUUUCCAAAAUAUGCUCCUUUGGAAUAAACUGCAUGUUAUUUAUGGCUUCUGACCUAAG